CGUAGGGUGCGAGCGUUAAUCGGAAUUACUGGGCGUAAAGCGUGCGCAGGCGGUUUGUAAGACAGAGGUGAAAUCCCCGGGCUCAACCUGGGAACUGCCUUUGUGACUGCAAGGCUUGAGUGUGGCAGAGGGGGAUGGAAUUCCGCGUGUAGCAGUGAAAUGCGUAGAUAUGCGGAGGAACACCGAUGGCGAAGGCAAUCCCCUGGGCCUGCACUGACGCUCAUGCACGAAAGCGUGGGGAGCAAACAGGAUUAGAUACCCUGGUAGUCCACGCCCUAAACGAUGUCAACUGGUUGUUGGGUCUUUACUGACUCAGUAACGAAGCUAACGCGUGAAGUUGACCGCCUGGGGAGUACGGCCGCAAGGUUG
rnacentral:rRNA from 1 species